rfam:Harpegnathos saltator strain R22 G/1 HarSal_1.0_1.contig134, whole genome shotgun sequence.
AAAUUGGCCCUUUUUAGGGCCACAACACACGCACACACACAGGGGA